rnacentral:rRNA from 1 species
GAUGAACGCUAGCGGGAGGCCUAACACAUGCAAGUCGAGGGGCAGCAUCAUCUUCGGAUGGAUGGCGACCGGCGCACGGGUGAGUAACGCGUAUGCAACCUGCCUUAUACUGAGGGAUAGCCCAGAGAAAUUUGGAUUAAUACCUCAUGGUUCCUGUGAGUCGCAUGGCUUUAAGGAUAAAGAAUUUCGGUAUAAGAUGGGCAUGCGUGACAUUAGAUUGUUGGUGAGGUAACGGCUCACCAAGUCGACGAUGUCUAGGGGUUCUGAGAGGAUGAUCCCCCACACUGGUACUGAGACACGGACCAGACUCCUACGGGAGGCAGCAGUGAGGAAUAUUGGUCAAUGGGCGCAAGCCUGAACCAGCCAUCCCGCGUGUAUGAAGACGGCCUUAUGGGUUGUAAAGUACUUUUAUCUACCAAGAAAAGCAGUUACGUGUAAUUGUCUGACGGUAGUAGAUGAAUAAGCACCGGCUAACUCCG